GACGAACGCUGGCGGCGUGCCUAAUACAUGCAAGUUGAGCGCUGAAGGUUGGUACUUGUACCGACUGGAUGAGCAGCGAACGGGUGAGUAACGCGUGGGGAAUCUGCCUUUGAGCGGGGGACAACAUUUGGAAACGAAUGCUAAUACCGCAUAAAAACUUUAAACACAAGUUUUAAGUUUGAAAGAUGCAAUUGCAUCACUCAAAGAUGAUCCCGCGUUGUAUUAGCUAGUUGGUGAGGUAAAGGCUCACCAAGGCGAUGAUACAUAGCCGACCUGAGAGGGUGAUCGGCCACAUUGGGACUGGGACACGGCCCAAACUCCUACGGGAGGCAGCAGUAGGGAAUCUUCGGCAAUGGACGAAAGUCUGACCGAGCAACGCCGCGUGAGGGAAGAAGGGUUUCGGAUCGUAAAACUCUGUUGGUAGAGAAGAACGUUGGUGAGAGUGGAAAGCUCAUCAAGUGACGGUAACUACCCAGAAAGGGACGGCUAACUACGUG
rnacentral:rRNA from 1 species